rnacentral:rRNA from 1 species
GACGAACGCUGGCGGCGUGCUUAACACAUGCAAGUCGAACGGAAAGGCCCUGCUUUUGUGGGGUGCUCGAGUGGCGAACGGGUGAGUAACACGUGAGUAACCUGCCCUUGACUUUGGGAUAACUUCAGGAAACUGGGGCUAAUACCGGAUAGGAGCUCCUGCUGCAUGGUGGGGGUUGGAAAGUUUCGGCGGUUGGGGAUGGACUCGCGGCUUAUCAGCUUGUUGGUGGGGUAGUGGCUUACCAAGGCUUUGACGGGUAGCCGGCCUGAGAGGGUGACCGGCCACAUUGGGACUGAGAUACGGCCCAGACUCCUACGGGAGGCAGCAGUGGGGAAUAUUGCACAAUGGGCGGAAGCCUGAUGCAGCAACGCCGCGUGCGGGAUGGCGGCCUUCGGGUUGUAAACCGCUUUCGCCUGUGACGAAGCGUGAGUGACGGUAAUGGGUAAAGAAGCACCGGCUAACUACGUGCCAGCAGCCGCGGUGAUACGUAGGGUGCGAGCGUUGUCCGGAUUUAUUGGGCGUAAAGGGCUCGUAGGUGGUUGAUCGCGUCGGAAGUGUAAUCUUGGGGCUUAACCCUGAGCGUGCUUUCGAUACGGGUUGACUUGAGGAAGGUAGGGGAGAAUGGAAUUCCUGGUGGAGCGGUGGAAUGCGCAGAUAUCAGGAGGAACACCAGUGGCGAAGGCGGUUCUCUGGGCCUUUCCUGACGCUGAGGAGCGAAAGCGUGGGGAGCGAACAGGCUUAGAUACCCUGGUAGUCCACGCUGUAAACGGUGGGUACUAGGUGUGGGGUCCAUUCCACGGGUUCCGUGCCGUAGCUAACGCUUUAAGUACCCCGCCUGGGGAGUACGGCCGCAAGGCUAAAACUCAAAGGAAUUGACGGGGCCCCGCACAAGCGGCGGAGCAUGCGGAUUAAUUCGAUGCAACGCGUAGAACCUUACCUGGGUUUGACAUGGAUCGGGAGUGCUCAGAGAUGGGUGUGCCUCUUUUGGGGUCGGUUCACAGGUGGUGCAUGGCUGUCGUCAGCUCGUGUCGUGAGAUGUUGGGUUAAGUCCCGCAACGAGCGCAACCCUUGUUCACUGUUGCCAGCACGUUAUGGUGGGGACUCAGUGGAGACCGCCGGGGUCAACUCGGAGGAAGGUGGGGAUGACGUCAAGUCAUCAUGCCCCUUAUGUCCAGGGCUUCACGCAUGCUACAAUGGCUGGUACAGAGAGUGGCGAGCCUGUGAGGGUGAGCGAAUCUCGGAAAGCCGGCCUCAGUUCGGAUUGGGGUCUGCAACUCGACCUCAUGAAGUCGGAGUCGCUAGUAAUCGCAGAUCAGCAACGCUGCGGUGAAUACGUUCCCGGG